rnacentral:tRNA from 1 species
UCCAUGCUGGCUCAGAUGGUACAGAAUCUGUCUGCAAAGUAGGAAACCCAGGUUCAAUCCCUGGGUGGGAAA